AUUCCAUUAUGAAGGAAUUUCCAUAAUAAAUACUUAAAUCAUUUUCAUGCCUCAUACAAGGACUCAUCAUCGGAUUGCUAGAACAUAGUAAUUUCAUUUCUAAGUUU
rfam:Gossypium raimondii chromosome 2, whole genome shotgun sequence.